CCUACGGGUGGCAGCAGUGAGGAAUAUUGGUCAAUGGACGAGAGUCUGAACCAGCCAAGUAGCGUGAAGGAUGACUGCCCUCUGGGUUGUAAACUUCUUUUAUAUGGGAAUAAAAUGUUCCACGUGUGGGAUUUUGUAUGUACCAUAUGAAUAAGGAUCGGCUAACUCCGUGCCAGCCGCCGCGGUAAUACGGAGGAUCCGAGCGUUAUCCGGAUUUAUUGGGUUUAAAGGGAGCGUAGGUGGAUUGUUAAGUCAGUUGUGAAAGUUUGCGGCUCAACCGUAAAAUUGCAGUUGAAACUGGCAGUCUUGAGUACAGUAGAGGUGAGUGGAAUUCGUGGUGUAGCGGUGAAAUGCUUAGAUAUCACGAAGAACUCCGAUGGCGAAGGCAGCUCACUGGACUGCAACUGACACUGAGGCUCGAAAGUGUGGGGAUCAAACAGGAUUAGAUACCCGAGUAGUC
rnacentral:rRNA from 1 species